GUUGCAGGUUAGGUCAGUUGCGUGAAAGCAGGUUUGCAGGUUAGGAGGAUACAAUGUUUAAAUUCGCCGUCUACUACUUGUUUGAUAAAACACUUAAAGUGGAAAGUACGUCGGUCAUUCUUGGUAGCGACCAGUUCACCCAAGUGGCAUCCCAGCCGGACUUAGAUGACGAUGCGAACUGGAUUGAAAUAAAAUGGCCCACGAGAAAAGAACCAAACAGGACGGUGCCUGCUAAGGUGCUGUUAUUUGGAGAUUCCUACAAAGAACUUGUGUCGAAGAAGAAUUUAUUCCUUCUCGGUAAGGAUAUCUGGGCCAAGGAAGAAAGAAGGGGUGUGCGCAUGAAAAAGAAGAUGUGUGAGACCGACGUAGUGAAGCCUAAAACGUCCCAACAGGCAGAGCAAACCAGGAUUAAAGAGGCAGCCAGGGACCAGGUGUUACAAAACCUGAAGACUUGCCUGUCUCAGAAAAGGGCCCUGGACACACAAGAUCACCUCUACAGUUCUGAGAACGAAUCUCCACAACGUGUUCAUGGGGGAAAGCGAGCAAAGAUUAACAAGGCAGCAAGACGUGUGCUUUUACCCCUGGCAUCCAGUCCAACUUCUGAUGACGCUACAUCCAUAGGAAGUCCACAACGGCAUGACAUUUUUCAAGACCAUGCCUCAGAUGAAGAGUUGGGUUUCUCCCAAGCCCAGAGAAUGGCAAGUACAUUUACAUUGAAUAUUAUAUUAUUAUGGUAAAAUUAUAUUAUAUUGAAUGAAUAGGUCAGGCAAAGGACAGAGAUCUUACACCCAACUGCAUGGAAAACUUAAUCUCACAAUUGUUACAUAUCUUAUUUUCACAUAUAAACUCCUUUUGGCUGUCAUGUGCAUGCCAACUAAGCAUAAUGAAUUUAAUUUACUUUUAUUUAAUAUAUUCAACAAUAUAAUCAUUUUCAAACACCUUUCAUUAAUGUUUUUCCCACACGGUAGUGUGGAUUAGAAGAGUGUCUUUUAAGCAUACUGUAUUUCCUGUUGUGUUUAUUGGGAUCCAGAAAAACAUAAAAUAAUCACAAUUUCUAACGUACAAAAUGACCACAACAUUAUAUCUGCUGCUAUUUCCUCCCAUGAUUCCACACAUCAGGUUCUGUAAAAGUCUAUUGUACCUUAAUGAAGUUUAAUGUGAUUCUAAUCUCUCAUUCUCUCUUGAAGAAGCUGACGGAUGAUAAUACUGGUCAUGGUAUGGCACCUGGAAUGAAUGAAAUCAUGUCAUGCCUUCAUGGUGGCUGUUCAGAUUGGAAUUAGAGGGGUUGACAUGUCAGAACACAGUAUGUUUAUUAAACAAUGGUGUUUCCACAUUAUUUAUUGUCCUGUACUGAGUUUAAGUACCAUUACUUUUACUAACUAACAAACCAAAUGUUUUCCCACUUAAUAUUACAUUCAUCUAGACCUGCCAGAAAUGAUUAAAUUAAUGAGGGAGUGUGUGGAGUGUGUCCGGGCAUUGAUGUCUUCUAGAGAGACCCCUUCAUUUGCAGCGUCAUCAUCUUCUGUGGACAGUGAAAUUGAAAUGCACCCCUUGGCAGGCAGCACAGUGAUUGUUUCAAAGAGGGCUUUCCUGCGGCUGAAUAGAUCUCGCAUGACCAUUUUUGCCCAGGAGCUGGCUGUCCUGGUAUUCACAAAGGAGGGCCUUGCACAGUCCACCCUAACUGGAAAGUCUCGGAAGGGGGGGCCGCCAAAAACACAGCUUGAUGUUGACAAAGUGCAGGCUAUUACAGAUGCUGUUCUUCUGGAAUUCCGACAGACCACUGUCUCUGAUGUGCGCGCGGCCAUCAGACGAAAAUGCAACAAUGAGCAGUUCAGCCAAAGAAACACACACCACGGAUAAUAUGUGGUGUGUGUUUCUGUAUGGUGGGAGGGGUUAGGCAGGAAUGUUAAGGAAUUAAGAAAUGUUGUCUUUCAUUGUUAUUUCUGUUGUGUUCUGUUAAGUUUAUGUGAAAUGUUUAUUCUGCUGAAAUGUUUAGUUCUGGUCUGCUGCCAUAAUGUAAGUGUUCAUACAUUGGUUGUAAGUUUUUUGUAUGUACUAUAUGGUACAAAUACAUAAAAAUAUAUUUUUUCACCUGGAAGUAGUCUCACAAGUCUUUCAGCCUUGAGUACCCUGGUAAUACAUUUGCAAGUAUGUGCAAGGUAAAAAGUAACAUGGC
ensembl:lncRNA